GAUCAUGGCUCAGGAUGAACGCUGGCGGCGUGCCUAAUACAUGCAAGUCGAGCGAACAGACGAGGAGCUUGCUCCUUCGACGUUAGCGGCGGACGGGUGAGUAACACGUAGGUAACCUACCUAUAAGACUAGGAUAACUUCGGGAAACCGGAGCUAAUACCGGAUAAUAUUUCGAACCGCAUGGUUCGAUAGUGAAAGAUGGCUUUGCUAUCACUUAUAGAUGGACCUGCGCCGUAUUAG
rnacentral:rRNA from 1 species